AAAUCCCCGGGCUCAACCUGGGAACUGCAUUCGAAACUGGCAGGCUUGAGUCUUGUAGAGGGGGGUAGAAUUCCAGGUGUAGCGGUGAAAUGCGUAGAGAUCUGGAGGAAUACCGGUGGCGAAGGCGGCCCCCUGGACAAAGACUGACGCUCAGGUGCGAAAGCGUGGGGAGCAAACAGGAUUAGAUACCCUGGUAGUCCACGCCGUAAACGAUGUCUACUUGGAGGUUGUGCCCUUGAGGCGUGGCUUCCGGAGCUAACGCGUUAAGUAGACCGCCUGGGGAGUACGGCCGCAAGGUUAAAACUCAAAUGAAUUGACGGGGGCCCGCACAAGCGGUGGAGCAUGUGGUUUAAUUCGAUGCAACGCGAAGAACC
rnacentral:rRNA from 1 species